UAAAGAAAUUAAAACGCUUACUAAUUGAAGGAUUAAAUACAAGGGAGAUGAAAUGAUGGGUACUAUCGUAUGUCAAGUUUGCAAUUCAACAAUUGAUUACUUUGAAGAUGAAAAGGUCACGGUACUUUAUUCUUCAAUUUGUACUUGUAGCAAACAUGAUCAUAAAGAAGAAAAAUAAUAGUUGUUCAAAUAAAAAAGCAUGCAGACGGCAU
rnacentral:sRNA from 1 species